GGCCAAUCGGAAGCGAGACGCCAGCUUACUGAGGACAGCAUCACCAGGUCGCAGCGCAGCGUGCCGCACACGCCCAACGUGGCCACCAUCAGCAGGAAGCAGCACACCGCCACCAGGACCGGGUGGACCACGGGGGCAAAGGCCGGGCCACUUCGUUCUUACCCAGAAGAGCACGUUGAGCGCGUAGAGGAAAAGGCGCACGCAUCUGACGGCGUCCUGUCUCGCCAUCGCUCGCUUCGGGCCUCGGAUGCUUCGGACCAGCACGGCCUCAUUCUGAGUUGAGCCGGGCCGGGCCGGGCCGAGUAGCGCGCAGUCACUCGUUCUGGCUCCGUGGGAGAAAAAACAGGCUCGACGUGACUUCGCACGUCACACCCGGCAGGAUGUCUGCUCCCGGCGGAUCGAGGUCGGGGGCAGGAAUGUGACCCGAUUGUCCUCGCCAGUCGAUGAUUGCUGUAAGGAUUUCCCAAACACUCCCAU